UACGAGAGGUGCAAGCGUUACUCGGAAUCACUGGGCGUAAAGCGCACGUAGGCGGAUUUGUAUGUCAAUUGUGAAAGCCCAAGGCUCAACCUUGGAAUCGCAGUUGAAACUGCAUUUCUUGAAUACUUGAGAGGGUGGGGGAAUACCUAGUGGAGAAGUGAAAUUCGUAGAGAUUAGGUGGAACACCAGAGGCGAAGGCGCCUGCCUGGCAAUGUAUUGACGCUGAGGUGCGAAAGUGCGGGGAGCAAAC
rnacentral:rRNA from 1 species